rnacentral:lncRNA from 1 species
UCACAACUUUCAGCACACAAUUAUCCUCAUUCUAAUCACUAGAAUUCUUCACACAGAACUAUCAUUCAUAUUACGGUGUUUUACACAAACAUAGACUCAUUCUCUUUGUUGAACUACAAUCAAAUUUCAACAUUCAAUCUUUCUUCUUCUCAAAUAAUACCAAUCACAUUUCCAUUCCAUAAUUCACUUCACAAUAUUCAGAAACUCUCAAUCCUCUUAUUCAAAGAAAAUAAUAAACAAAAGAAAAGAGAUAG